rnacentral:sRNA from 1 species
UAUCAACGUACGCAGACUAAGAUCGCCACGUCCUGUGGCAACGUCUGCAUGACCCGCAUCCUGCGGG